rnacentral:rRNA from 1 species
UACGGAGGUGGCAAGCGUUGCUCGGGAUCACUGGGCGUAAAGGGCGCGUAGGCGGGGAGGUAAGUCGGGUGUGAAAUCCCUCGGCCCAACUGAGGAACUGCGCCCGAGACUGCUUCUCUUGAGUCCCGGAGAGGAAGAUGGAAUUCCCGGUGUAGCGGUGAAAUGUGUAGAGAUCGGGAGGAACACCGGUGGCGAAGGCGGUCUUCUGGACGGUGACUGACGCUGAGGCGCGAAAGCGUGGGGAGCAAACGGG